AGACAGGUGUGCUGGAGUCAGAGCAGAUCCCCACCAGCUGCAACCUGUUCCAUAAUCAAGACCUCUACAAAUACUCAUUCCUGCCUCUUCCACGCUCCCAGAUCGUAAUCUCUGCUCAUUCUGCCCACUCUGACUCUGACUUCUCGUCAGUCCUGCUACUCUGUCCUGGUUUCCCCACUCUACGGCUCCCUUGGAUUCCCCUCCGGACCUGCUUACCCUGUCCUACAACACCUCUCGCACCUGGUUUCCGGCAACACUCCCAAGCUUCCCCUGACCUACACUCCAUCUUCCCCCUGUGUUCCAAUAAAUACCUUGCUUACUUCA